rnacentral:rRNA from 2 species
GACGAACGCUGGCGGCGUGCCUAACACAUGCAAGUCGAGCGGAGAUGUACUGAAGAUUUAUCGGAUGUACAUCUUAGCGGCGGACGGGUGAGUAACGCGUGGGCAACCUGCCUUCCACUGGGGGAUAACACAGGGAAACCUGUGCUAAUACCGCAUGACAUCACAUAGGGCAUCCUGUGUGAUCAAAGGAGUGAUCCGGUGGAAGAUGGGCCCGCGUCCGAUUAGCUAGUUGGUGAGGUAACGGCUCACCAAGGCGACGAUCGGUAGCCGGACUGAGAGGUUGGCCGGCCACAUUGGGACUGAGACACGGCCCAGACUCCUACGGGAGGCAGCAGUGGGGAAUAUUGCGCAAUGGGGGGAACCCUGACGCAGCGACGCCGCGUGAAGGAAGAAGGCCUUCGGGUUGUAAACUUCUUUGAUGAGGGACGAAGGAAGUGACGGUACCUCAAAAACAAGCCACGGCUAACUACGUG